AACGAACGCUGGCGGCAGGCUUAACACAUGCAAGUCGAACGGGUGCAGCAAUGCAUCAGUGGCAGACGGGUGAGUAACACGUGGGAACCUUCCUAGGGGUACGGAACAACUCAGGGAAACUUGAGCUAAUACCGUAUACGUCCGUAAGGAGAAAGAUUCAUCGCCCCUAGACGGGCCCGCGUCGGAUUAGGUAGUUGGUGGGGUAACGGCCUACCAAGCCUGCGAUCCGUAGCUGAUCUGAGAGGAUGAUCAGCCACGCUGGGACUGAGACACGGCCCAGACUCCUACGGGAGGCAGCAGUGGGGAAUCUUGCGCAAUGGGCGAAAGCCUGACGCAGCCAUGCCGCGUGAGUGAAGAAGGUCUUAGGAUUGUAAAGCUCUUUCGCUCGUGACGAUGAUGACGGUAACGAGAGAAGAAG
rnacentral:rRNA from 1 species